rnacentral:ncRNA from 1 species
CCGCUUUGGUGCGCACUAACGUGUGCUUAAAAGGGAACCAGGUGAGAAUCCUGGACAGACCCGCUGCUGUAUUUCGCCUUUAUGCGAGGCAAACAAAACAGUCACUGAACCAACCAUUCGGGAAGACGUUUGCUCUCGGGCGAUGAGUCAGAAGACCUGCCAUUGACGAU